AGCGAACGCUGGCGGCGUACCUAACACAUGCAAGUCGAACGGGGGUCAUCGGGUUAGCAAUAGUUCGGUGGUCCUAGUGGCGCACGGGUGAGUAACACGUGGGCAACCUGCCCUAGAGAUCGGGAUACCCCCUCGAAAGGGGGGCGUAAUACCGGAUACGUUCCCCGGGUCGAAAGGACCUGAGGAGGAAAGGUGGCGGCCAAGCUGCCGCCUCUUGGAGGGGCGUCGCGGCCUAUCAGCUAGUUGGUGGGGAACGGCCACCAAGGCUAUGACGGGUAGCUGGUCUGAGAGGACGACCAGCCACACGGUGACUGAGACA
rnacentral:rRNA from 1 species